UACAGAGGGUGCGAGCGUUAAUCGGAAUUACUGGGCGUAAAGCGCACGUAGGCGGCUUGGCAUGUCGGGUGUGAAAUCCCCGGGCUCAACCUGGGAACUGCAUCCGAAACUGCCUUGCUAGAGUAUGGGAGAGGGAAGUGGAAUUUCCGGUGUAGCGGUGAAAUGCGUAGAUAUCGGAAGGAACAUCAGUGGCGAAGGCGACUUCCUGGACCAAUACUGACGCUCAGGUGCGACAGCGUGGGGUGCAAUCAGG
rnacentral:rRNA from 1 species